UGUAGGCCUGAUCGAAGCUGUAUUUAACAUUCUCUUAGUUAAUACAGUCAAAACAUGGCCAAAAAUAAUUUUCAUCUAAUGGUCGCUGAUGUGGCUUACAGAUGCCUUACCAGCAUUACCCAAGUUGAAGACACUU